GUCAUUUCAAAUAAUGAAAACUACAUUAUAAUCAAUGUAGUUUUUGUUGGAGAAUUAUGCUCACCAUGUGUCCAACUGGAUAACUUAUGUUCAGAAACUUGUUUUGAAGGCACUUCCCUAGCUGGAGGAUGAAGACGUAAAUGCUAUUAGCCACUGGAAUCUCAGCUCUGUGUCUUGAUCACCAGACUUUCAUUUUCAGAUCGAAGUUGGUCUGUGAUGGUCAAAGGAGAAAAGCAACUGAACUUCUCAGUAUGCACUACAUUGGGGCCAAAGGAGGUGAACCAGACCAAGAAGAAGCAAAGAGAAUUGGAUUGUUUCUACUUCGAGUUAUCGGGAAUAAGGCUGCUAUGAACGUGGUUAAAUAUCUGCUUGAGACUCCACUCUCAGUUCUUUGGAGUAUAUGCCUAGAAGUGAUUGCUUGAUCACAUGGAUGCUAUAAAGUGGCAGGGGUGGGGAUAGGAUAAAGGCAGUUGAAGUCUGUCGUGGAUCAGGUUCCCUGGGAAGUAGACUGAGGCAG
ensembl:lncRNA